rnacentral:sRNA from 1 species
AGCCGAAGAAAAACAAACCAGAGAAAGAAAUGGACAGCGAUGAACACUUUGCAUUGGCAGCUGAUGAACCCUUUGCAUUGGCACCAGCGGCCU